rnacentral:rRNA from 1 species
CCUACGGGAGGCAGCAGUGGGGAAUAUUGGGCAAUGGGCGCAAGCCUGACCCAGCAACGCCGCGUGAAGGAAGAAGGCUUUCGGGUUGUAAACUUCUUUUCUCAGGGACGAAGCAAGUGACGGUACCUGAGGAAUAAGCCACGGCUAACUACGUGCCAGCAGCCGCGGUAAUACGUAGGUGGUAAGCGUUAUCCGGAUUUACUGGGUGUAAAGGGCGUGGAGGCGGGACUGCAAGUCAGAUGUGAAAACCACGGGCUAAACAUGUGGCCUGCAUUUGAAACUGUAGUUCUUGAGUACUGGUGCGGUAGACGGAAUUCCUAGUGUAGCGGUGAAAUGCGUAGAUAUUAGGAGGAACACCAGUGGCGAAGGCGGUCUGCUGGACAGCAACUGACGCUGAGGCGCGAAAGCGUGGGGAGCAAACAGGAUUAGAUACCCUGGUAGUC